rnacentral:rRNA from 1 species
GAUGAACGCUGGCGGCGUGCCUAAUACAUGCAAGUCGAGCGAACGGACGAGAAGCUUGCUUCUCUGAUGUUAGCGGCGGACGGGUGAGUAACACGUGGAUAACCUACCUAUAAGACUGGGAUAACUUCGGGAAACCGGAGCUAAUACCGGAUAAUAUUUUGAACCGCAUGGUUCAAAAGUGAAAGACGGUCUUGCUGUCACUUAUAGAUGGAUCCGCGCUGCAUUAGCUAGUUGGUAAGGUAACGGCUUACCAAGGCAACGAUGCAUAGCCGACCUGAGAGGGUGCUGGCCCACACUGAAACUGAGACACGGUCCACACCCCAGGGGGGGACGGCAGUAGGGAAUUUUCCGCAAGGGGCGAAAGCCUGACGGAGCAACGCCGCGUGAGUGAUGAGGGUCUUCGGAUCGAAAAACUUUUUUAUUAGGGAAAAAAAUAUGUGAAAGUACCUGUCCACAUCUUGAGGGUACCUAAUCAGAAACCCCCGCCUAACCAGGUC